rnacentral:rRNA from 1 species
GCGGACGGGUGAGUAAUGCAUGAGAAUCUGCCCAGUAGCGGGGGACAACCUGGUGAAAACCAGGCUAAUACCGCAUACGCCCUACGGGGGAAAGGCUUCGGCCACUAUUGGAUGAGCUCAUGUCGGAUUAGCUUGUUGGUGAGGUAAAGGCUCACCAAGGCGACGAUCCGUAGCUGGUUUGAGAGAAUGAUCAGCCACACUGGGACUGAGACACGGCCCAGACUCC